rnacentral:misc_RNA from 1 species
GAUGAAGAACGUAGCGAAAUGCGAUAAGUAAUGUGAAUUGCAGAAUUCAGUGAAUCAUCGAAUCUUUGAACGCACAUUGCGCCCGCCAGUAUUCUAGCGGGCAUGCCUGUUCGAGCGUCAUUUCAACCCUCAAGCACAGCUUGGUGUUGGGACUCGCGUUAAUUCGCGUUCCCCAAAUUGAUUGGCGGUCACGUCGAGCUUCCAUAGCGUAGUAGUAAAACCCUCGUUACUGGUAAUCGUCGCGGCCACGCCGUUAAACCCCAACUUCUGAAUGUUGACCUCGGAUCAGGUAGGAAUACCCGCUGAACUUAAGCAUAUCAAUAAGCGGAGGA